rnacentral:rRNA from 1 species
UACAGAGGGGGGCAAGCGUUAUUCGGAAUUACUGGGCAUAAAGCGCACGUAGGCGGUUCGUUAAGUCAGGUGUGAAAUCCCCCGGCUCAACCGGGGAAUUGCGCCUGAUACUGGCGGGCUAGAGAUCGAUAGGGGUGAGUGGAACUCCAGGUGGAGCGGUGAAAUGCGUAGAUAUCUGGAGGAACACCGGUGGCGAAAGCGGCUCACUGGAUCGAUACUGACGCUGAGGUGCGAAAGCUGAGGGUAGCAAACGGGG